rnacentral:rRNA from 1 species
UACGUAGGGGGCAAGCGUUGUCCGGAUUUAUUGGGCGUAAAGAGCGUGUAGGCGGUUAGGUAGGUCCGUUGUGAAAACUCGAGGCUCAACCUUUGAAAGCCGAUGGAUACUGCAGGGCUAGAGUCCGGAAGAGGCGAGUGGAAUUCCUGGUGUAGCGGUGGAAUGCGCAGAUAUCAGGAGGAACACCAAUAGCGAAGGCAGCUCGCUGGGACGGUACUGACGCUAAGGCGCGAAAGCGUGGGGAGCGAACAGG